AUACGUAGGGUGCAAGCGUUAAUCGGAAUUACUGGGCGUAAAGCGUGCGCAGGCGGUUUUGUAAGACAGUGGUGAAAUCCCCGGGCUCAACCUGGGAACUGCCAUUGUGACUGCAAGGCUGGAGUGCGGCAGAGGGGGGUGGAAUUCCGCGUGUAGCAGUGAAAUGCGUAUAUAGGCGGAGGAACACCGAUGGCGAAGGCACUCCCCUGGGCCUGCACUGACGAUCAUGCACGAAAGCGUGGGGAGCAAACAGGAUUAGAUACCCUGGUAGUCCACGCCCUAAACGAUGUCAACUGGUUGUUGGGGAUUUAUUUUCUCAGUAACUAAGCUAACGCGUGAAGUUGACCGCCUGGGGAGUACGGCCGCAAGGUUAAAACUCAAAGGAAUUGACGGGG
rnacentral:rRNA from 1 species